CCGCCGCUGAGACUCUCCUCGCAGCCUUCGCCUCCUCCUCCUCCUCCUCCUCCACCUCUCUCUCCCUUUCACUUUGGGUAAUAAAGGGAUUUGCGCGCAACAAAAGGGUCCGCACAACACAAAACAGGAGCCCCACAGCUGUCUCUCCAUCUGCGCCCGGCUGCCAGGAUCUCCCGCACGCAGACCUACAGCGGAGCCCGGCCGCCGCGCAGCUCGGGGAAACGCUCGCCCGCCCGCCGGGGGGUCUCCCGCCCGUGGACCUCGCCGCGUUCGACCCGCGGGCGCCCGGUGAGUGUCGCGCCCGCGUUCCGGCCCUGCGUGCUCCUGGAAGACAGGUCCAGCUCCGGCUCUCACAGGUUCCACAGACAGACACACACACAAGGAAACCCAUUACACACAGGCUCUCUCUCUCUCUCUCACUCUCUCUUUCUCUCUCUCUCUCUCUCAUACACACACGCACACACAGAGGGGAGGAGGAAGAGAGAGUUUCUGUCCCGGCUGCAGCAUCUCCCGGCAACACACAGUGGGACAGAGGGACGAGGGCCAGGCAGUACUCAGAAACCACGGCAAACAGCCCGGCGCAGCGCAGAGCCCUCCUCGCACCGGCCAGAAGCCCGCCGCUGAGGAGUAAUCGGCCAUCACGUCCCUCGCCAGAUCAACCGGGUGAGACGGAGCCGAGGCCAGCCGGCAGGAGGUGAGGCGAAGGUCGGGUCGGAGGAGGAGGAGGAGGAGGAGGGGGGGGGGCGGCGGCGGCGA